CCUACGGGUGGCAGCAGUGAGGGAUAUUGGUCAAUGGUCGAAACCCUGAACCAGCAACGCCGCGUGAGGGAAGACGGUUUUCGGAUUGUAAACCUCUGUUCUUUGUGAAGAAAAUGCCGGUAGCAGAGUCGGAAGCUACGGCUAAUUACGUGACAGCAGCCGCGGUCACACGUUGGGAGCACGCGUUGUCCGGAUUUACUGGGUGUAAAGGGUGCGUAGGCGGUCUUGCAAGUCAGAAGUGAAAUCCAUGGGUUUAACCUGUGAACUGCUUUUGAAACUGGAGGGCUUGAGUGAAUUAGAGGCAGGCGGAAUGCCCGGUGUAGCGGUGAAAUGCGUAGAGAGCGUGAGGAACACCAGGGGCGAAGGCAGCCUGCUGGGCUUUAACUGACGCUGAGGCACGAAAGCGUGGGGAGCAAACAGGAUUAGAUACCCUUGUAGUC
rnacentral:rRNA from 1 species